rnacentral:rRNA from 1 species
UACAGAGGGGGCAAGCGUUGUUCGGAAUUACUGGGCGUAAAGGGCGCGUAGGCGGCCCGCUAAGUCGAACGUGAAAUCCCCGAGCUCAACUCGGGAACUGCGUCCGAUACUGGCGGGCUUGAAUCCGGGAGAGGGAUGCGGAAUUCCAGGUGUAGCGGUGAAAUGCGUAGAUAUCUGGAGGAACACCGGUGGCGAAGGCGGCAUCCUGAACCGGCAUUGACGCUGAGGCGCGAAAGCUAGGGGAGCAAACGGG